rnacentral:rRNA from 1 species
UGGGGAAUAUUGGACAAUGGGGGAACCCUGAUCCAGCCAUGCCGCGUGUGUGAAGAAGGCCUUAUGGUUGUAAAGCACUUUAAGCGAGGAGGAGGCUACUAGUAUUAAUACUACUGGAUAGUGGACGUUACUCGCAGAAUAAGCACCGGCUAACUCUGUGCCAGCAGCCGCGGUAAUACAGAGGGUGCGAGCGUUAAUCGGAUUUACUGGGCGUAAAGCGUGCGUAGGCGGCCAUUUAAGUCAAAUGUGAAAUCCCGAGCUUAACUUGGGAAUUGCAUUCGAUACUGGAUGGCUAGAGUAUGGGAGAGGAUGGUAGAAUUCCAGGUGUAGCGGUGAAAUGCGUAGAGAUCUGGAGGAAUACCGAUGGCGAAGGCAGCCAUCUGGCCUAAUACUGACGCUGAGGUACGAAAGCAUGGGGAGCAAACAGGAUUAGAUACCCUGGUAGUCCAUGCCGUAAACGAUGUCUACUAGCCGUUGGGGCCUUUGAGGCUUUAGUGGCGCAGCUAACGCGAUAAGUAGACCGCCUGGGGAGUACGGUCGCAAG